GACAGAGGCCACAAGCGUUAGGCGGAAUCACUGGGCUUAAAGCGUGUGUAGGCGGAUCGUUGAGUGCCUUGUGAAAUCCCACAGCUUAACUGUGGAACUGCUUGGCAUACUGGCGGUCUUGAGCCAUCUAGGGGUUGCUGGAACAAACGGUGGAGCGGUGAAAUGCGUAGAUAUCAGGAGGAACACCGGUGGCGAAGGCGGGUCUCUGGGCCGAUACUGACGCUGAGGAGCGAAAGCGUGGGGAGCGAACAGG
rnacentral:rRNA from 1 species